GACGAACCGUGCGAACGUUGUUCGGAAUCACUGGGCUUAAAGGGCGCGUAGGCGGGCUGCCAAGUCUGGGGUGAAAUCCCACGGCUCAACCGUGGAACUGCCUCGGAUACUGGCGGCCUCGAGGGAGGUAGGGGCAUGCGGAACUGUGGGUGGAGCGGUGAAAUGCGUUGAUAUCCACAGGAACUCCGGUGGCGAAGGCGGCAUGCUGGACCUUUUCUGACGCUGAGGCGCGAAAGCCAGGGGAGCAAACGGG
rnacentral:rRNA from 1 species